ensembl:lncRNA
GUAGACCCAAGAUGGGGCUGAGACUUAUCUAGACUUGUUUUUCCCAGAGAUAGAAAGAAAUAACACACUUUUUUUUUUUUUUUUUUAUGGGGGUCUUAAUGAUGUUUAGCCUUCAAGCUUCACAAAAUGUGACCCACCGGGUGCCCCAGAGAUCAGAGGCGCCCGCCUAUCAGCUCGUGCUGCUGUCCCUCAGCCUUGCUGUGGGAGGGGCAAAUGCAUGGAAGGAUUAUGGAGAUCCAGAAAAGAAGAGCAGGCAAAGCCAUAGAAAAAAAAAUCACCAAGAUUUAUUAACCAGAGAGAUCCCUCCUUUUCAAGUGGGAAAAUACCAGGCAGAGCUCAGAGCACACCUCCAUACCCUCACCCUUUUUGUGCCCUUUCCUUGCUGCUGUUACAACAGGACAGCAGGCUGGAUGGAUGUUUGGCUUUGCUCACUGCAAAUGUUCUUCUCCUCUUUGAACCUCAAAGAGCCUGUUUUCCUCUUACGCUUCGGAUUUUGGAUCAAUGCUAGAGGCUGCAAAACUAACCCAAGGAAGGAAAAAGCCUUUGAUUAGACAAUCUGAGUGGUAAAGAAAAGUAUUGAACGGAAAGCGCUGUCAAUGAGCUACUCAAUGCAACAAUUAGAAGGUGAAACUUUUUCUUUCCCUUUCUAAGCAAGACACACCUCUGCUCUGCUGGAAGGAGGUGGGUGGGAGGAAUUUUUCUUGUUCUGGUGCCCAAUUGUCUCCUGGACCUUUUCCAUUUCAAAGAAGAGGGUGACCUAUAAAACUGUCCCACUUUCACAUCACCCAGUGCAGACUAGGAAACUAUCUGACAUUUAAAGGGACACUCCUGGUGUUUCCAGUAAGGAGCUUUCUGUGGCAAUAAAUGAAUAAAGAGGUGCAGAAAAAUGAUAUCUGUGCAAAUGUCCCUGGAAUGUUUCUCUUUGAAGAGUCGUUCCAACUCUGCUGGCAAUGUGGAUGGUCGUACAGCUGAAGUUUUGCUCUGACAGGGGAUCCCACUGUUCCAUGAGCAUGAUGUGAGAAUAAAACGUGAGGUGGUUGGUUCAAAGUGCCAACAUGCCUGGACUGUGCCUACUCCAAUCCAGGACAGACCAUGAGCUGCUUUUGCUGUGGUUCUGCAGGGACAAAAGGUACCACCAUAGGCUCUCUUGGAACGUGGGUUGGGAAAACGAGACACCCAAGGCAACCUGGCCUCAGUGACAGUGCCUCUGGACAUCAAGAGGGAGCUCAGGAACAAAUUUCUGCAAGGGACUUUCUACAAAUUCCCAAGUCCUAUUCCAAGCUGAUGAUGGCUUUGCUUCUCCAGGAUGCAAAGAUGCUGGCCUGUUUGCUCUGGAAAAACUUUCAGCCAAGGCUUUGGCAGUCAAAAUUGACUUUGGAGACUGACUUUGCUUCUUGAACUGUUCUGGACCUGUUUCUUCCCAGCCAUGGAUUGGAUGCACCGUUCGUGUGAUAAACCACAGCAAUCCAACAGCAAUCCCACACUUACACAUCUCCCCUAGAAGGACGGUAAUUCUCAUGGAGAGGCAUCUGUGCAGAUCCGGUCCUUGGUCCUCAGUAACAACACAGGAUCCCAUACAGCAAGGAUGAGGCAAGAGAUGACAGCUCACCACACAAGACCAAUCUGGGUGACAAAGCAGAGUCCUCUCUUUGCUUAUCCCCCGCCUUCCUGUGCAGCAGGACUGCCAGAAAUCACAGCGGUGCAAUACUCAGCAGGAUGACAAGGAACCUGCAGUCCAGAAGAGAAGCAGCCCUGACAAUUCCUCUGUUCCUGCUGCUCAGUGAAACGGUUGCGUGUGGGAUGCGAUCAGCGCUCUGCAGCUGCUCCUACAUUAGUGUGCAUCGGAGGCACUCGAUGGAAGCAGCCUGGCGAUCUGUCUAGACUUAUUUGCUGCCAGAGACCAACACUUCAUUCCACCUCCUGCCGUACAGUUCCAGAGCCCAUCAGACCUCCAGCUUCAGACCUGUGUGCAUUCCUACAACAGGCGGACGCUGCUGAGUUGGCCUUCAGGCCCCUGGACACAUCCUGACCCCAGGACACCGCACUAACAGAACCUGUCUGCCAAAAGAAGAAACUUAGCUGUCUCCCAUUUCUGUCUGUGGUCUGUCUCCUUGAAGACCAUGAGGUACUUCAUACAUUCCUCAGCUUUUGCCUGCUAUUUGUGAAUUAAUGGGGUGAAGCGAUUUCCCUGAACUUAUCAGAAAAUCUAUGUAAGACAGAGAAGAGGAAUGGGAUCUGGUCCAUCAGGUUUACAGGUGCUGACCGGAACAAACAAGUGGUCCAGACCCUGAAUGCUUUAAUAUCCAUCUCUUAAGAAAGAGGUCUUCUCCCCACUAUCCCAUGAAGGCAAUGAUCAUUGCUCAGAAAUUCAGCCUUUCGUCCUGAUCAGAGCCCUCUCCAGCAUCACCUUCACAGCGAAAAAGACACAAACCCAACGGCUCAACACUUGCAAGGCAGAGCAGUGCUGCAGCCCCGUGUGCCCUUCGACUCACUCCCUUUCCCUCGGCCAGGCCUCAAGCAGAGCAGUGAUUGAAGAGAGGUGGAGCCCCAUGACUGAUUCCCCUGAGAACAUAACUCUGGUUUCUCUGACACCCUGAACAAGAGCGAGAUGUCAGGAUCCUUCCUUAGGGCUGCUGCAUGAGAGGGAUGGACCGGUGACACUGAUGCUACAUCACCUCUUCUGAGCACAGGAGCUGAGUUCCACGUUUGGCAGCUCCAGGAUGAACCGGUGGCGUUUCCUUGACUCCAGUGGCGAUCGAUUCCAUUUGGAGCCUGUAGCAACUGACGUCCAGGGGAGCCCAAGUCCCACCCAUCACAUGGCAACAGGAAGCUUUGCGUGAUGCCUGGUGGCACAUCCCUCCAAAAGGAAGUGGGAAGAUUAAAGAAAGACGUUGAGGCCCUGGAAUCUGCCCAGAGAGGGGCAACGAAGCUGUGAACGGGCUGGAGCACAAGUCUUAUGGAGAGAGGCAGAGGGAACUGGUGUUCUUCAGUCUGGAGAAGAGGCUCAGGGGAGACCUCAUUGCUCUCUACAAUGCCCUGAAAGGAGGCUGUGGUGAGAGUGUUCAAUUCUUUCCCCGUCUCCCCCACCAGCCCCAGCCCACGAGCGAGCAGCUCCCGAAAAUGCUGAGGAAAUGGAGCUGAAAGCCUGGGGCAAUGGGGCAGAGAAGGUGAAUCUAAAGAGAUGCAGAAAUGAACCAGACAGGGCCGGGAAAUGUACGGAGAACCCACCCUAGCCUGUAUGUGAGGGAGUGCAUACCACAGCGUAUGAGAUCAACAGCCCCUUUCCGCAGUCUCAGUAGUGCUGAGUCCCAGAAGAGGGUUACAGAUUUACAAGGAAUUCAGAUUUUUACAUUCAGGAUGAAAUCAGCAAAUUUUAGAGCUUGCCGAGAUUGAAGCGACGGUGUUGAGCGAUGCAGCCCCGAGCACGCGGAGCCCAGCACCGCUUUGCUCCCAGUAAUGAGUCCCCCCGGGGGUCACAGCCCCCACUGCAUGGGGCUGCCCAAAGCCCUUUGCCCUGCGAUUCUUCCAGCAAAGACACUGUACAAUCACAGGCAGCUGCACUGAGGAAAAUGUAAAUGCAAUAGAAAACACAGACGUGGAGGAGCAUCUGUUCUCCCCUCCAGGUCAAGCAGUGGUCUUGAAAGAUGAACCGGCAUGGGGAGAGCUCAGAAGGAGUGAGGUGAGCACAUCUACCAGUGGAAUGUCUGCUCCUACAGUGGCACACCAGUCAGGAGGAACAGGAUGAGCUGGGAGCUGGAAGGAGAGGAAAGGGAGGUCAAUGAGGGACUUUCUUCUUCGCAAUUCCACAGACGUGCCAUGGAUCCAUGAGCUUUCUUCAACAGCCAUCACCCCGCACUGCAGGUUGUCCGACAGAAAAUUGGAAUGGUAAUGAAGACUAAGAGAAGAGAGAAAGCAAAAAAGAAUACUUCGUACUCACAUCAUAACAAAUCUUAAGAGAAGGGGAUGGGAGAUAAUGUCACUGCCAGUUCAAAAAGGUGGAUACAAAAAUAUAAUGAAGGUGCCUGUGUUUCAACACGUUGUCCAGAAAGUGCACUAGCAUCUGAAAGUACAAAAAUACUCAGAACAAUCUAGCAUGUUCAGGACGUAAGUGUGUUUCUACCUGUUAAAGGGAAAGGCAAGAGAGAGAAUCCAGUUGCUAUGGAAAUCAGGCCAUCUCCAUGGGAAUUCAGAAAGUAGAGUAUCCUCUUGGCCAGUAAAUCAGGCAGCGAGCAGCCAUUUCUGGACCAUGGCACUGAGCAAUUCUAAGCUGCUCACAGGACAGUUUGUUUCCUCAGCACUGCCGCCCUACCUCAGUAUCAAUGAAAUUGGUGAAAAAAGGGGGUUAUUGGUGAAAUGAAGAAUUUGUUUUGUGGAAUGUAAAGAAGGUUCAGGGGAGAACUGAUAGCAGCCUUUCAGUAGCUAAAGGGGUGGGGAGGGGUAUAAGAAAGAUGGGGACGGAUUCUUUAGCAGGGUCUGUUGUGAUAGGACAAGGGGAUAUGGUUUAAUUACCCCUAAACUGAAAGAGGGGAGAUUUAGAUUGGAUGUAAGGAAAAAAGCUUUGUACGUUAAGGCCAGGGAGGCUCUGACACAGGCUGCCCAGAGAGGUGGUGGUGCCCCAUCCCUGGAGACGGCCAAGGUCAGACUGGGUGGGCUCUGAGCUGUGGGUGUCCCUGUUCAGUGCAGGGGCAGUUGGACCAGAUGGCUUUUAAAGGAUCCUUCCAACUCAAACAAUUCCACAAUUCUCCGAUUCUCCUGCAUGUUUCUGUGGAGGUGUGUCGCGUGUCUUUGCUUUAGCUACAGUUAUUGGGAUAUAGAUUUAUGUCACUGGAAAAAAAGUGGAACUCCUGGUUUUGCUUCUCAGCAAAUGUUUUUUGUUCACAUUAGUUGCUGUACAAUAACAAAGGAUCAGGUAGGUGUGCAUGCAGGAAGUAAAAGGAAACAAAGGCCACAUUAAAGAAUAUAAAAAGAAGGAGCUGAGGUACAAACCCACACCUUGUUCAGGACUCCUCUCUUUGUGUUAAUGGACAAAUAUUCAUGGUGCCAUUGGGGGAUCCAAUUCCCUUGCCAUAGGCAGCAGCCUCCAGCUCUGCUGCUCCUGGGUACCAGUGAUUGCUUAGAGUUUAGGGUCCCACAAAGGCUCCCAAGCACAGUUCUUCCAGUCAGUGCCCCACAGCUAGGUUUACUCUGCUGUCACCUGAUGGAUGAGAUUGAGAAGCUUGGAGACUUUUGAGAUUCUGAUGCUUUGCUACAGAGCUUUCUUCUGUUUCAUCAUUGCAUUUAAUCACUGGUGGGCAACUGGUCCCUAGAGCCCGGGAGGUUGGGUACUGCUGGAGUUGAAAGCUUUGGCAUGAGCGCCAGUGUGCAGACGAUGGAAAGCAGGUGAUGGAUUUACAGUGCUGAAAUCCUUGCUAUGACUGCUAUGCAAACACCAUAUAUUAUAGCUGUAAGUCCUGCAUAAGCCAAGAAGAUUAAAAAACACCUUGUAGAAAAGAGCUCCGGUCGGAUAUGCCUUUGUUCACGAGGACAACUAUGCAGUGGUACUAAUGCAUGGAUGUCAUUUAGUGCUGGGGGAGUUAAUGGGGCUUUAUUUGAAUAUAUCUCAGCUGCGUGAGUAAGGCUCACAGGCAGAAGUGUCUGUCUGGUGUACGUGUGUUGGAGGACACUGUCUGACAUUGAUGGAAAGCUGCUUGAUAGAGUUUCAUCUUUCAAUUCAUUUAGAUUUUUAAAGCUCAGGUUAAGUUGCCCAACUUAAUUUGCAAUCAUUUAAAGUAGGAGUUAAGUGAAGGUCACAGGCUGCUCUAAAUUAGAGGGAAACCGCUGUAGCACUGGCAUGCUUUGACCUUUUCAGUGUUUUCUGACUCUGCUGACCAGCUGAGCUCUUUAUAGCACUGUUAACCUGUGAGAAAUGUGUGAAGUGGUCAUUUCCCACAGUAAAGCAGGAAAUUUUGAAAGGUUAAAGUAGCAGUGAAUAUUCCUGGCAAGAGCAGGUACGGAAUCCCUUGGAACUGAUGAUCUGUGUGUACGUGUAUCUUCCUGCUCUGCAGUGUUUGUGUUAGAAGGGAAGUGAAGAGGAUGCAAAGCAGGGCUGUAGGCAGCUCACCCGAGCUCUGCCUGCAGGUUAUCCCAGAAAUCAGCUUGGUGCAGAGGGUGCUCUCAAACCCACAGGAAUCCGUGCUGUCUCAGAGCUAUAAAAAAAUACUACUACAAAAACUCCAGAAGUAACAUCAAACUCAGGACGUGGGGCUUUCCUAGAUCCCAUAUGCAGAACUUGGGGAAAAGACAGAUAUCAGUGUUCCCCCAUCCCUGGGGCUGUUCAAGGCCAGGUUGGAUGUGGCCCUGGGCAGCCUCAUCUGGUGAGUGGCAACUAGCCCACAGCACGAGCUUGGUCCUUUCCAAUCUAAGCCAUUCUAUGAUUCUGUGACGUACCUGGAGUUAACAGCAGUGAGCCCAGACAGUGUAGUAGAUGGGAUGCGCUAUCACAGUGCUCGAAGAGUAAAAUCCCUAUGCUCCAUGCCCCAUCUUUUUUAUGCACUUGUUUUCUUCCUUCCUGGUGUUUACGAUCCAGCUGCACGUUCUGCAGCUCUCUCUCUUCUGCCUUUAAUGAGGUAAAGUGGAGAAGUCGUAAAACCAGGCCGCCAUCGGUGUAGCAUCCUGGGGCUGCCAUAACGAGAGGCUUCUGGUCCUCACGAUACAACACCUUGGUGGCAGUGUCUAGUCCCACCUUCUUUGUGCAAAG